UUUUUCAUGCAUUAUUAUUUUUUUGAAAAAUAAACAUGCUAUGAUGCAAAUGAUGCAACAUGACGGGUCAGGCUGUGCGUCUCAAGGCACAGGGUCAAAGCUUCGGCUUGAACUCGGAGUCACAAUCCAUCUGAACCCCAAAGUCAACUGAUCAACUAUCAUCUGAACCCAUGUCUGGAGGAUUGAGUCACCAUCUGAGCGAGUACCCUCAAAUUCAGCCCAGGGAUCC
rnacentral:lncRNA from 1 species